GGAGCAUCCAUGGCUGCUGGGUGGGGACAGGGAAGCGCCCGUCCUGCAGCCCGGGCUGUGCCUCAGUUUCCCCGCCGUGUGAAUGCUGCAAAGGGUUAAAGCUGAGCGGGUGAAAUACCUUGGAGGGGUUAAACAGGGCGAUUUUUCUGCUGGUUUUUAUCCAAAACAUAUGUUUUUGCCACUAUUCGAGUUAUCUGGGAUAUUUCCUGCGUGUUUGCUCCUAUGGCAACCGGCCCAGCAUGAAAGACCUAUUUACUGGGCCCUGGGAUAAGGCAGGGCCAUAUGUUGAUGGGUUGGAGGUUCCUUCAACAUCGCUUUGAGGUUCUUCAGGAGCUACAGAUGGACACGAGCAACCUGUGGCACUGCGGUGAGGUCUUUCGGGGGGUAGAGAUGGGCAUACAUAACCUGCAGCACUGGUUUGGUGUCCAGAAAGGGACAUAAGGAUGGAUGUAAGCAAGCUACGACAUGGCUGGAAGUCCUUCAGGGGUUGGGAUGCAGACAAGUGACCAACCACAUAGAUGCUCCAGGGAGGCCAAUGGGCACCAAUAACCUAAGACGUGGGUCUGACAUUUAUCUGGGAGCUGAGGGCUGACAUAAGUAACCCACAUCACUGCUCUGAGGUCCUUCAGGAGCAAAAGAUGGAGCCAAGGGGCCUUCAACAUCGCCCUGAGGUCCAUGGGGGAUGCAUCACUGCUCCGAGGGCUGCCCAAGAGACUGGGCUGGAGAUGGGGCUGGGGACAAAAUGCCUCCACUGCAGAUCUGGGAUGCCACCAGGAGGCCCAGCUGGAAGCGGGGCUGGGGCCGAGCAACCUGGCAUCCAUCCCAGAGACCGACACCGAGGCUCACCGCAGGGCAUGGGGCAGGAGGGUCCUGGGGGCACUGAAGACCCCUCAGAACCUCACAGCAGCCACGAGAGUGCAGGGAGGUUCUGUUCCCAUUCCAGCACGUCUGGACUUCUUUUAGGGUCACCGCAGCGCCCCAAAAGCCCCAACACUGCCCGGGGCCACUCCGUGCUCCCUCCUGGGCAGCUGCAGGCAGGCAGGACCAGACACGGUGUGGGACAGAGGAUCUGCAGAGUGAUUCACUCCCCGGGACUCCCACAGUGGUAUUUCUGAUGCAAAAGCCCAAAUAGAUGAUAAAUUUUUCCCUCCCCCACGUUUUGCAGGGCUGACCCCUCCUCCCUCCCGCCCUCCCUCCGGCCGCCCGGCGCUGCCUCUCCGUAUUUCUUUUUAACACACACAAAAAUAAAGGCUUUCGGCCAAAAUAAAC
ensembl:lncRNA